rnacentral:rRNA from 1 species
CCCUUAGAUGUUCUGGGCUGCACGCGCGCUACACUGAAGCGUUCAACGAGUAUUUCACCUUGCCCGGGAGGGUUGGGUAAUCUUUUUAAAACGCUUCGUGAUGGGGAUAGAUUAUUGCAAUUAUUAAUCUUCAACGAGGAAUUCCUAGUAAGCGCGAGUCAUCAGCUCGUGCUGAUUACGUCCCUGCCCUUUGUACACACCGCCCGUCGCUACUACCGAUUGAAUGGCUUAGUGAGCCUUUGGGAUUGGCAGCCAACACCGGCAACGGUAGCUGGCCGCCGAAAACUUAUGCAAACUUGGUCAUUUAGAGGAAGUAAAAGUCGUAACA